CGAACGCUGGCGGCGUGCCUAUUACAUGCAAGUCGAGCGCAGGAAGUCAUCCGAACCCUUCGGGGGGACGUUGACGGAAUGAGCGGCGGACGGGUGAGUAACACGUAAAGAACCUGCCCUCAGGUCUGGGAUAACCACGAGAAAUCGGGGCUAAUACCGGAUGGGUCAUCGGACCGCAUGGUCCGAGGAUGAAAGGCGCUCCGGCGUCGCCUGGGGAUGGCUUUGCGGUGCAUUAGCUAGUUGGUGGGGUAACGGCCCACCAAGGCGACGAUGCAUAGCCGACCUGAGAGGGUGAUCGGCCACACUGGGACUGAGACACGGCCCAGACUCCUACGGGAGGCAGCAGUAGGGAAUCUUCCACAAUGGACGAAAGUCUGAUGGAGCAACGCCGCGUGAACGAUGAAGGCCCUCGGGUCGUAAAGUUCUGUUGUAAGGGAAGAACAAGUGCCGCAGGCAAUGGCGGCACCUUGACGGUACCUUGCGAGAAAGCCACGGCUAACUACGUGCCAGCAGCCGCGGUAAUACGUAGGUGGCAAGCGUUGUCCGGAAUUAUUGGGCGUAAAGCGCGCGCAGGCGGCCUCUUAAGUCUGAUGUGAAAGCCCCCGGCUCAACCGGGGAGGGCCAUUGGAAACUGGGAGGCUUGAGUAUAGGAGAGAAGAGUGGAAUUCCACGUGUAGCGGUGAAAUGCGUAGAGAUGUGGAGGAACACCAGUGGCGAAGGCGACUCUUUGGCCUAUAACUGACGCUG
rnacentral:rRNA from 1 species